UUAUUAUUUGAUUGUUAGUAGAUGCUAAUGACAACCUGAUCACUUAAGAGUGAUUUUCUGGGACCAGAAACCCAUGCAGACCUAUGCUCAAAGCAGCAACACUUAGCUAUCAACUAUGCUGAGCUUGCUUCUAUCCUACUUUGUUUCCACUGACAGAAAUUUAUCAAUACACUCCCCCAAACUCUAGAAUUCUAACAGCUCCCUGUCCCUAAAAACUCCAGCAGAUCCGUGUGACUUGCAGAGGCCUGGCAGGCUCACUCUUUGGACUGUCCUGCUAUGUCUCCUACUGGCCUUGUAUCCAACUGCUGCCAACGGAGUCAUCUACCAUUUGAGGCCAGUUGCCAUCACGGUCACCAAGGUAAACAGUGCCCUGUACUUUUGCAGGAGGAGAAGCCAAGCGUUCUAAUGAGCACCAAGUAGAGAGCAAGGAGAGAGUCUAAACCCGGGUCGUAUAAUGUGUGCAACCAUAAUGGCUGAAUCAGAGCAUGACCGGCUUCUCACAACCUGGAGCAGAUUCAGGCAAUCUCAGGUGGGUCUAAGGUACAGUAAUACAGUGACCUUAAAGGCUUCGUUCUCAUCUACAUUCACUUGAAAUGCUCCUGCAUUGAUGAGCCAGUUAUAAGACAGAAAUUUUACCUUUAUUUUUUGAGGAUCUAGACCAUUGAGCAACUCCGUGAAGGCCUGCGCGGCACUGCGACAGCGCUGCUCGAGCAAAGCCGUGUAACCAUCCUGGAUUAAGCUUCUCAGCAUUUUCAUUAUAUUAGCAAAAUCCUGCAAAAGAAGAAAUUCUACUUCAGUAAUCCAGAGCUAUAUGUGUUCCGUCUGAAACUUAAGAUGCCAAAGUUCAUCAUAGGGCAUUUAUAUUUUACAACUGAUCAUAAACCCCCAAAAUUACGUUUUAUGCGUUAUACUUUCUCUACAUGGCACCUUUAAAGCAAAAACUUAAAGGUACUACUUCACCAUCUUAUUUUCAAUACUCCUACUGCUGCUGACAGUAAAGGGUGGUUCAUUUUACACUGUAUGGUUCUAAGCCUUGCUCACUUCUCCAGACCAAACAGACAGCAUUCAGAAGUUUUAACAGCACAAAUGGAGAAUACCAGCCACCAAUUUAAGUAACUGUUUGGCUGGAACUAGAAUUAGACAAAUAAGAACAAGAAAUCAAUUUUCUGAUCACUAUCAGACUUUAACAACUGCCCUCGUGCUCUAGAAUUAAACCUUAAUUCUUAGCAAGAAAUGGCUAUUUCAAUCUUUGGCUCUGCUUCUGCCUAACAUGUGCUUGAACAGAACGCAAUAAAAUUAUCAGGAGAGAUUUGGUUAAGUGCAAAGGGAAGAGCAUAAGAAUUAAAAAAAACAAAAGUACUAUAAAUAUAAAUGUACCUUGAAAUAAAGUGAGAAAAAAUGGUACCUUUGGAUAUAUAUGUGAACAUACAUCAUAGAAGCUGAAUUCAAGUUUUAGUUACAUGGCAAUAGCUGUCACAAAAGUUCCAUAAAAACUAGAGAGAGAAGACUACAAGGUUAAGCCUAGACUUCCUCACUCCUUGACAUAACACGUGCACACCACUGAGGAAAGCAGAAGAUGCAAAUACGUGUGCAAUAUUCCUCACUGUUCCUAACAGUAAAGAUCCAAAAGGAGGCCCACUGCACAAAGCACAAAGGGAAGAGCAGUUUGGUCACAAUUAACAAAAGCUGCCUACUGGCUUUCGUCCAAGGAGAACUUUCCCCCAGAAUACACACACGGAACAGAGAAGCUCUCACAUAAACUUCGUAUUUGCUACAGUAUUUAAUAAAAGCUCGAGGACAGCUACAUUUAUGUUGA